rnacentral:rRNA from 1 species
AGCGGCGGACGGGUGAGUAACACGUGGGUAACCUGCCCAAGAGACUGGGAUAACACCUGGAAACAGAUGCUAAUACCGGAUAACAACACUAGACGCAUGUCUAGAGUUUGAAAGAUGGUUCUGCUAUCACUCUUGGAUGGACCUGCGGUGCAUUAGCUAGUUGGUAAGGUAACGGCUUACCAAGGCAAUGAUGCAUAGCCGAGUUGAGAGACUGAUCAGCCACAUUGGGACUGAGACACGGCCCAAACUCCUACGGGAGGCAGCAGUAGGGAAUCUUCCACAAUGGACGAAAGUCUGAUGGAGCAACGCCGCGUGAGUGAAGAAGGGUUUCGGCUCGUAAAGCUCUGUUGGUAGUGAAGAAAGAUAGAGGUAGUAACUGGCCUUUAUUUGACGGUAAUUACCUAGAAAGUCACGGCUAACUACGUGCCAGCAGCCGCGGUAAUACGUAGGUGGCAAGCGUUGUCCGGAUUUAUUGGGCGUAAAGCGAGUGCAGGCGGUUCAAUAAGUCUGAUGUGAAAGCCUUCGGCUCAACCGGAGAAUUGCAUCAGAAACUGUUGAACUUGAGUGCAGAAGAGGAGAGUGGAACUCCAUGUGUAGCGGUGGAAUGCGUAGAUAUAUGGAAGAACACCAGUGGCGAAGGCGGCUCUCUGGUCUGCAACUGACGCUGAGGCUCGAAAGCUUGGGUAGCGAACAGGAUUAGAUACCCUGGUAGUCCAUGCCGUAAACGAUGAGUGCUAAGUGU